rnacentral:snoRNA from 2 species
CCCCUCUCAUGAUGGCACCUGGAGAGUUUCCAGUACACAACCAGUCUCGGCUACUGGAGGGAGAGUCAAGCAGAGGCCUACCCAUUCCAUUCCUAGCUUGGGCAGUGGCUAGCGAGGGGAAGGCCAUCUGCUACAAAU